GACGUCAUCUGCAGACCCUGGAUACGCGGCCGGGGUUACCGGGUCUCUGGGGCUGCGUUCCCUGACGGGAAGGAGGCGUUGGGGGGCGGCUGGGUUUACCCUUCGAGAGUCUGUGUGAGAACCAGGACACCUGUCUUGUUGAAAAGGGAGACACAAAAGCUGAAAAUGCCCGGAAGGAUAUGGCUUCCUGGAACUGCGGGAUGUGUAGCUGCGGCUGUGGGGUGGACCAUGGAAACAGAUCAGCAGGAAGAAGAGAUGGAAGCAACGCCAUGGACUUUCGUGUUCUUCAGAGUGUGGGUGGGCUUGGGCCUUGCAGUGAGAACAAGUAUCACCCAGGAUGGAGAUGGGAGAUAAUGGGUGGGCGACAGGUGCCUCCUACUGCUGGCAGCAAGGAGAGAGUGAAGAAGCAGAAUUUCCUUGGUCUAGACUAGAGUCUGGGUCAUGGGCAUGGCAGUGCUUGAGCUUUUGACCAGAAGCAAGUGGACAUGGAUUUGAGCUUCGGGUAAGAAAGGAGACUUCUCUCCAGGGACCAUAGGGGCUGGCAGCUGAAGAAGGUGACUUGGCCCCUGUCUAGAGGGUGAAUAUAGGGUCAACCCAAGGCCAUGAACUAGAUGGAGCUGGGAGAGCCUGCUUGGUACUUUUAAAUCUCAACAUGUCAACCACAAAUACCUCAAACACUGCUCACACCGUCAUAAAAUCUAGUUGCGAAAUUUGUCCUGCGGCAGCCUUCUCCAUCCCAGGCGCCCAGGCCCCAUCUCCUGGCAGCAGGCAGCUCUCCCCAUCCCCCGUCAUGUCCCUCCUACAGCCCAAGGCAACAAGGCAACUCCCAGCAACCUUGGUGAACGAAGCACAUCCU